rnacentral:lncRNA from 1 species
UAGGGGUGGAAAUCGGACGGAUCGGAUCGGAUUUGGGUGUUUCGGAAAAUUUCCGAUUUUUUUCGGAAGUCCAAAACGACUUCCGAUUCCGAUUCCGAUUUUUUCGGAAUUCAAAAAGUGAUUCCGAUUCCGAUUUUUUCGGAAUUUUCGGAAAUUUUCGGAAAUCUUCAUUUUCGGAAUUUUUCGGAAAAAAAAUGAGCACCAACACAGUAGCAAAACAGAACAUACUCACACAAAAACAAAAACACACCACAGAUAAAAUUAGAUUAAAUUUGAAUCAAUUAAAUUAGAUUUAUUCUAAAAGUACCCGAUAGAGAGAGCGGCUUUGCUGGUGGUCGUCGGAGAGCCGGGAGGCGCUGGUGGUGGUGGUCUUCGGAGAGCCGGGAAGCGCUGGUGGUGGUGGUCUUCGGAGAGCCGGGAGGCCUGGUUGCGAUGGUGGUGGUUGGAGAAUCGGGAGGCGCAAGUGGUGGUGGUCGUCGGAGAAUUGGGAGGCGCUGCUGGUGGUGGUGGUCGUCGGAGAGCCGAGAUGCGCUAGUGGUGGUGGUCGUCGGAGAACCGGGAGGCAGUGGUGGUGGUGGUCGUCGGAGAAGGCGCUGGUGGUGGUGGGGGAGAAAGAAAGGUAGGAUUGCUGAGAGAGAGAGAGUCGGGAAAUUAGGGUUUC